rnacentral:rRNA from 1 species
CCGCCCGUCACACCAUGAGAGUCGAUAACACCCGAAGCCUGUGAGCUAACCUUUUAGGAGGCAGCAGUCGAAGGUGGGGUUGAUGAUUGGGGUGAAGUCGUAACAAGGUACC